AACGCCGCGUGAGUGAGGAAGGCCUUUUGGUUGUAAAGCUCUGUUGCCGGGGAAGAAAGUUAGUGUAAGGAAAUGUGCAUUAAUUGACGGUACCUGGUGAGGAAGCACUGGCUAACUACGUGCCAGCCACUGCGGUGACUGAGCGGGCUGGCAAGGCGCAUA
rnacentral:rRNA from 1 species